rnacentral:rRNA from 1 species
GUCAAGAAUCUUCCCCAAUGGCCGAAAGGCUGAGGGAGCGACGCCGCGUGUGGGAAGAAGCCCUUCGGGGUGUAAACCACUUUUCUCAGGGAAAAACUAAUGAUGGUACCUGAGGAAUAAGGGGCUGCUAACUUCGUGCCAGCAGCAGCGGUAAUACGAAGGCCCCAAGCGUUAUCCGGAAUCACUGGGCGUAAAGAGCUCAACGGUGGUAUGCUAAGUUCUCCGUCAAAUAUUCAGGCUUAACCUGAAUGCUGCGGGGAAAACUGGCACACUUGAGGGCAGGAGAGGCAGACGGAAUUGCCGGUGUAGUAGUAAAAUGCGUUAAUAUCGGCAAGAACACCAAAUGCGAAGGCAGUCUGCUAGAAUGACCCUGACACUACACGAGCGAAAGCGUGGGGAGCGAAUGGGAUUAGAAACCCCAGUAGUCC